GAUGGGAAACGAGUGUGAUUACUGCCAUGCAGAUCACAGAAUCUUUUAACUUUUUGUCUUAUUACCUCCCCCAGAUUACUGAUGGAGAACGUGCGCAUUUAUCAGCAAUUCGGUAUGAAUAAUCCAGGUUUAGGAACAAUUAAUUGUGAAGAUGGAAAUCUCCAGGAGAAAACCUCAGAAUGUCGCCUGGAGCAUUCUGAGACCUUUGUGGUGCAUUCAGGAAGUUGUAGUGCAGAGGUCUGGUAUAAAUCUUGAGUCAGAACCUAAUUCUCCCCACUUGGCACCUUGUUCACUUAUGUUGGUGCAAGAGUGCAAGGAAAAUAUCACUGAGCUUCCUUUGCAUAUGCACACUGACUAGUAAAGAGCAGACAGACGUGUUCUUAAAAAUAACAAUCUAUUUAUGUGUUAUGUGACUAUAGCAGGGACUAAAAGAGCUCGCAUAUUUCAUUAAUGUUGCUACAGAAUUGUAAAUCUUACCUUUAUUGUCUAACCUUUUAAAUUAUUUAUUAUUUUAAAUGAAGGUAGCACAACUUGAAUGAUCCUUCCCAUUUUAGAUGGGCACCUUGAUAAUACAAAGGCAGUAAAUAAGCAUAGAAAACCAAAGAUUAGGAACUAAUCUAACAGUUGGAGCUAAUGGGUUUCUUUCCUCCAAUGUCAUUUGGCAGCACGAGGACACUACUGAAUUGCAAAUAUUCAGCUUUGCAUUGGAAACACAUACGGCUGAUACUAGCAGAACACAUUGCUAAAGUUCUCAGGAGCUCAGCUUAGAGCUUGCCCGGUAUUGUUGCUGGUGUACUGGUUGUUCUGGCUUUGGCUGGGAUGGAGUUAGAGCAGCUAGUACAGUGGCAGUCUUGGAUCUGUGAUCAAAACAGCACUGAAAACAAAACGAUGUUAUAAUUGUUACAGAACUGUGCUUACAUAGCAUGAAGGCUUUUUCUGUUUCUCAGGCUGCCCUGCCACUGAGCAUCUCCAGCACACAAGGCUGGGAGGAGCACAGCCAGGACAGCUGACCCCAGGGUAUCCCUUACCCUCUGACAUCAUGUUCCUCAGUAAGAGCUGGGGGAAGGACACAAAGAGGGAGGAGCCUGUCCAGAUCAGCUGUGCAGCAAGACAAACACCUGGAGAGCACACAACAGCCCGUCCUUCCUCAUUUCUCUUAAACAAAGGCUUUCCUGUGUAGUAGGAGGAGCUCCUGCAAGCAUCAGUGCUUUUCUCCUUAACAUCUCCUUUGACUGAUACAUCAGCAAAGGGUGCCAAGCCUGCUAUGAACUCAGCUCAGCACUUUCACCAGCCUUAACAGAACUUUUACUGAAACAAUUAAUUCUAAACGUGGUUUUGGAAGGUCUCUACCUAUUCUACACCUGAGAGAGACAUUCAGCUAUGUUCCUUUUAGGAUAAAACAGCCAAAUAGUGAGGUUAAAAGAGUUGAAGUUGGUGGCAGACUUCACAGGACUGAGAUCUUGAAUCAUCUAGUCACGGGGUUUCGGAUACUGAAUUGCUUUGAAAAUUGAAAGAGUUCACUGAAAACAAAAGAAGUAGAGAGGUGAUUACCUGCAGUCUGGAAAUACUUUUCUCUGAUGCUCUAAUCUGAUCAAUUUAGCUGAACAGCUGAAAAUACACAGCAAGUGAAAUGAGUAAAUAAUUCAGAGGAUGCCUCCUGGGGUGGCUAGCAGACGUGCUUGGUGGCUGUGGCUGGCAGCUUGAUUAGCACAGAAGACUAUUACACAGAAUAGAGGUAAUAAUACAGACAUGGAAAUCUUAUCAGAACCAUAACCUUGCACUAGCCACAACAACGGUUUCACAGCCAACAGUCAAAUAGCUCAGGGGGUGAAAGAAGAGCAGCCAGGCAUCUAGAUGCUGCUCUUGGCAAGGACUGCCAGAGCUUGGUAGUUGCCAGAAUUUUCCCAUGUGGAGUCAAAGGGUCUUGGCUCUUAUGCUGUAACAGAAAGAGAAGCAAGGCAAAAUGAAGCAUUUUGAACAUAUUGAGUAUCACCACAACAGGAAAGAGUGGUGCCAAAUCUGUACUGAAUGACCCAUCUGUGCCAGCUUGCUUUGUGGCACUGACAGGAGUUAAGGUGAGCAAGCUGGACAGGUUGGGAAGGGUGGCAGCUUUAUACAUCUGGGCACUGCUCAGCUCACCUUGUGCAGAGAUUGUUUGACCAACAGGAUGCAGCAGAAGUAGUUCAGUAGUAUUGAUCCAAUGAAGUAUCUGACUUUGCAGCUAGAAUCUGAACUGCAGGCUACAGGCAGCAAGAUGACACAAUAGCUAACUAGCGAGCAAGGCAUAAGACGUCAUGUAGAAAGAGUUUUGAAAGGAGUGUGAGUUCAUCUCCCCCUCUUCUGCUGUUCAGGGACUAGCUGGACACUGGUCAGUGGCUGGUGAGCAACUGCUUCCAUAUCACUUGUUAUAUACACUAGUAUAUGUGAAUAUAUGACUAUUACCCUUUUUUCUGUCUUAGUAAAUAUUUUUAU